ACUUCUUCAUGCUGCCUUGCGAAGAAGCUGGCUUGCUUCCUCUUUGUCUUCCGCCAUGAUUGUAGAUUUCCUGAGGCCUCCCAAGCUGUGCUGAACUGACUGGACCUCACUGUGGGAACAACAAGAUCAACAAGAGGAGCAAGAACAACAUCAAGAGUCAGGGCCCGGGGGUCCUGACGGGUACAGGAUGGGUACAGACCCACACAGGAAUCCCAGAGUGUGUUCCACAGCAGGACACGCCUGCGCUGAAAGAGUGGGCAGAAAGGAGCUGACCUGGGAUUAUGAUCCAAACUCAGCUGGGCCUCCCCUCCCUGCCCCAGGAUUGUGGAGUGAGAACGUUGCAGCAGGAGAGAACAACGCAGCAAAGCACAGCAGGGGAACCGGAAAUGCUCACCUUUUGACAGGGUACUUUUAGUUCUGGGGCCUUAUCUUAAGGAUAUUCCAACAUAUACAAAAAGAUUCAUGCACAGAGAUAUGUACUUUAGUAUUAUUUACCAUAGGAAAAAAGUUGGAAACAAUACAUUUUAUGUUCUGUAAAAUGAAAGAACAGUUAAAUAAAUCAUGGCUCUAAGACGACUCCAGGGCUGUGUACGGAAGUUCAGGGACAGAAUCAGUUGAGGCUGUUCCACCUGAGCCUAAGCUUCCUCUGCUGUAUGUCGGGAAUCAGGUGGGGGCCAAGCGAGAUCACCACAGUGCAGGCCAGUGUGCAGGGCACAGGUGGGCACCAGGGAGGGGACGCCGCACAGCCCCAUGCUCUCGCCAAAAACGUGCAGCACAAUUUGGAAGAAAACAUUUCCAUCUGUUAAUAAAGAGCAAGGGCCUCUGGUCAUAAGUGACACA
ensembl:lncRNA novel transcript